UCUUGCGGGCUUGCUGCGCGUGCCACGCUAUUUAUUCUCCCUCCAGGGGGGUCGUGGACCCCCACGAGGGAGAAUAGCUGUCGGUAUGCCGGGUGUCGGGAUUCCGUCGCCGGUAUACUGUGCGCCGGGAUCCCGACAUUCGGCAUACUGAAGACCACCCGUAGCUAUAGCUAUACAGCGAAUUACACGGGAAGCAGCUCCUGUUUAUUUGAAACAAUUAUCUGAACAUCUCAACAGCUGCAUAUCACUGUAGAAGUUUGUUUAUAGGUCGGUGCGCUUAUCUAGUGUUCAAACGAUCCCUUUCCGAAGGAGGGAUACACCGAAUUGUCUAUGUGCUGAGACUCAAUUAGUCGUAUCCGGGUCCGUAUCUUCAACCUUCCAGCGAGGAUUCUAUACUUAAGACACCAAAUUACUACACCAUAUGGCGCUUGUUCUUCUUCCCUACCUCCACAGAAUCGCAUGACUGAACCGACCUAGGUCAUUUACUGAAGAACUGAGCUGCCACCAAAGAGGUUUGGGAGAGAAACCUGACUGACCUACUUACUGCCUGUUCCAUUAAGCUAAGACUUACUAUUUAUUUAUUUAUUUAUUGUGUUUUAAGUAUUUUUUAUUAUCUAUUUUUGUUAUUAAACAUUGCAUAACUAUACAGUGCAGUGACUGGGAAUUUUUGGAAGGAGCACAUUUACCGGACCUAGCUGAACCAUCUGGAUAUAAGCAUAUCCUACAUGCUAUAUUUGAAUAUUUAUGUGGUACGCUUAAUAUAGGGGGGAAACACCCAAAACUGUUUUCAAAGAUACUUCACUAUACGGCGACAAUUUCUAUCUCCUUAUAGGUGGGGACAGCCGAUGUGAAAGUCUGAGUCUGACAGGCCUAAUUCCAAGAAGUCAUCCGGUACUUACCAAAUUUUGUCCUUCUUUUGGUCCUAUUUUGUGCCCUAAAUUACUACACCAUAUGGCGCUUGUUCUUCUUCCCUACCUCCACAGAAUCGCAUGACUGAACCGACCUAGGUCAUUUACUGAAGAACUGAGCUGCCACCAAAGAGUGCAGUGACUGGGAAUUUUUGGAAGGAGCACAUUUACCGGACCUAGCUGAACCAUCUGGAUAUAAGCAUAUCCUACAUGCUAUAUUUGAAUAUUUAUGUGGUACGCUUAAUAUAGGGGGGAAACACCCAAAACUGUUUUCAAAGAUACUUCACUAUACGGCGACAAUUUCUAUCUCCUUAUAGGUGGGGACAGCCGAUGUGAAAGUCUGAGUCUGACAGGCCUAAUUCCAAGAAGUCAUCCGGUACUUACCAAAUUUUGUCCUUCUUUUGGUCCUAUUUUGUGCCCUAAAUUACUACACCAUAUGGCGCUUGUUCUUCUUCCCUACCUCCACAGAAUCGCAUGACUGAACCGACCUAGGUCAUUUACUGAAGAACUGAGCUGCCACCAAAGAGGUUUGGGAGAGAAACCUGACUGACCUACUUACUGCCUGUUCCAUUAAGCUAAGACUUACUAUUUAUUUAUUUAUUUAUUGUGUUUUAAGUAUUUUUUAUUAUCUAUUUUUGUUAUUAAACAUUGCAUAACUAUACAGUGCAGUGACUGGGAAUUUUUGGAAGGAGCACAUUUACCGGACCUAGCUGAACCAUCUGGAUAUAAGCAUAUCCUACAUGCUAUAUUUGAAUAUUUAUGUGGUACGCUUAAUAUAGGGGGGAAACACCCAAAACUGUUUUCAAAGAUACUUCACUAUACGGCGACAAUUUCUAUCUCCUUAUAGGUGGGGACAGCCGAUGUGAAAGUCUGAGUCUGACAGGCCUAAUUCCAAGAAGUCAUCCGGUACUUACCAAAUUUUGUCCUUCUUUUGGUCCUAUUUUGUGCCCUAAAUUACUACACCAUAUGGCGCUUGUUCUUCUUCCCUACCUCCACAGAAUCGCAUGACUGAACCGACCUAGGUCAUUUACUGAAGAACUGAGCUGCCACCAAAGAGGUUUGGGAGAGAAACCUGACUGACCUACUUACUGCCUGUUCCAUUAAGCUAAGACUUACUAUUUAUUUAUUUAUUUAUUGUGUUUUAAGUAUUUUUUAUUAUCUAUUUUUGUUAUUAAACAUUGCAUAACUAUACAGUGCAGUGACUGGGAAUUUUUGGAAGGAGCACAUUUACCGGACCUAGCUGAACCAUCUGGAUAUAAGCAUAUCCUACAUGCUAUAUUUGAAUAUUUAUGUGGUACGCUUAAUAUAGGGGGGAAACACCCAAAACUGUUUUCAAAGAUACUUCACUAUACGGCGACAAUUUCUAUCUCCUUAUAGGUGGGGACAGCCGAUGUGAAAGUCUGAGUCUGACAGGCCUAAUUCCAAGAAGUCAUCCGGUACUUACCAAAUUUUGUCCUUCUCUUGGUCCUAUUUUGUGCCCUAAAUUACUACACCAUAUGGCGCUUGUUCUUCUUCCCUACCUCCACAGAAUCGCAUGACUGAACCGACCUAGGUCAUUUACUGAAGAACUGAGCUGCCACCAAAGAGGUUUGGGAGAGAAACCUGACUGACCUACUUACUGCCUGUUCCAUUAAGCUAAGACUUACUAUUUAUUUAUUUAUUUAUUGUGUUUUAAGUAUUUUUUAUUAUCUAUUUUUGUUAUUAAACAUUGCAUAACUAUACAGUGCAGUGACUGGGAAUUUUUGGAAGGAGCACAUUUACCGGACCUAGCUGAACCAUCUGGAUAUAAGCAUAUCCUACAUGCUAUAUUUGAAUAUUUAUGUGGUACGCUUAAUAUAGGGGGGAAACACCCAAAACUGUUUUCAAAGAUACUUCACUAUACGGCGACAAUUUCUAUCUCCUUAUAGGUGGGGACAGCCGAUGUGAAAGUCUGAGUCUGACAGGCCUAAUUCCAAGAAGUCAUCCGGUACUUACCAAAUUUUGUCCUUCUUUUGGUCCUAUUUUGUGCCCUAAAUUACUACACCAUAUGGCGCUUGUUCUUCUUCCCUACCUCCACAGAAUCGCAUGACUGAACCGACCUAGGUCAUUUACUGAAGAACUGAGCUGCCACCAAAGAGUGCAGUGACUGGGAAUUUUUGGAAGGAGCACAUUUACCGGACCUAGCUGAACCAUCUGGAUAUAAGCAUAUCCUACAUGCUAUAUUUGAAUAUUUAUGUGGUACGCUUAAUAUAGGGGGGAAACACCCAAAACUGUUUUCAAAGAUACUUCACUAUACGGCGACAAUUUCUAUCUCCUUAUAGGUGGGGACAGCCGAUGUGAAAGUCUGAGUCUGACAGGCCUAAUUCCAAGAAGUCAUCCGGUACUUACCAAAUUUUGUCCUUCUUUUGGUCCUAUUUUGUGCCCUAAAUUACUACACCAUAUGGCGCUUGUUCUUCUU